UAAGGACCACGAUGUAUAAUAAACAAAAAAUACCUUCAAGUUUUGCAUUUGCUUUUUUUCAAAAAGUUUCUACGGCACUCCCUAUAAAUGUUAAUAUGGUGGAAACAACUGCUUGUAAAACAAAAAUACAUUUCUAAAAAUCUGGAAAACAUGGAAAUGGAAACUCACUCAACCAAAAACGGAUUAAGUGGAUGGCGGGGACGGCAAAAAGGCCGGCAAAGAGGCGCAAAAACUUGACCAGGCCAACGAUGGUUGGUGGGGAAUUAUUAUGCAGCAGCAAUUACUCGCCAAUUGUCGUCGCAAUGAGAUAGAGAGCGAAUGGCCAGCGGACUGGCAUCAAGAAUGGGAACGGGAACGGGAACAAAAGGAGAAAAAGCUGUUCGAAAAGGCGAUAAUCCAGUCGGGAACGAUGGACGCCGAGGAUCGCAAUGAUCAAACGCGUCUGCCAGCGUCAGCGGUUUUGGCCCGGCCGGUUAUGACCAAAUGCGGAGGAUUUGCAGUCGCCCCCUGUGAUUAUUUUUAUUAUAAUUGCGCGUUUAUUGGCGUGAGGAUAUGUUGCCACUCGAAUCCGUGGGGACACCACACAAUAAUGCCGCAUCGAGUCAACAACCACUAAUGACGACGACACCUUGGACGACGACACUCCUCUGGCCCACCGAUUCCAUCAUCUCUCUGGACACUGGACAAUCCGAAAACAUCCCACUAAUUUUUCCUUAUAUGUCCAAAGUGGUACACAAACGGCAAACGGCAAAUCUGCUUUGAUUUGUGUGGCAAACUUGGCGCUUGUUGUACAGCAUUUUUGCGUCUCUCAAACGUAGCAUUUUCCUCUGCAUUUGUUGCUCUUUAGU